rnacentral:rRNA from 1 species
UCAAGUGAAGAAGCGCAUACGGUGGAUGCCUUGGCAGUCAGAGGCGAUGAAAGACGUGGUAGCCUGCGAAAAGCUUCGGGGAGUCGGCAAACAGACUUUGAUCCGGAGAUGUCUGAAUGGGGGAACCCAGCCAUCAUAAGAUGGUUAUCUUGUACUGAAUACAUAGGUGCAAGAAGCGAACCAGGGGAACUGAAACAUCUAAGUACCCUGAGGAAAAGAAAUCAACCGAGAUUCCCUUAGUAGUGGCGAGCGAACGGGGACUAGCCCUUAAGUGGCUUUGAGAUUAGCGGAACGCUCUGGAAAGUGCGGCCAUAGUGGGUGAUAGCCCUGUACGCGAAAAUCUCUUAGUCAUGAAAUCGAGUAGGACGGAGCACGAGAAACUUUGUCUGAAUAUGGGGGGACCAUCCUCCAAGGCUAAAUACUACUGACUGACCGAUAGUGAACUAGUACCGUGAGGGAAAGGCGAAAAGAACCCCGGAGAGGGGAGUGAAAUAGAUCCUGAAACCGUAUGCGUACAAGCAGUGGGAGCAGACUUUGUUCUGUGACUGCGUACCUUUUGUAUAAUGGGUCAGCGACUUAUUUUCAGUGGCGAGCUUAACCGAAUAGGGGAGGCGUAGCGAAAGCGAGUCUUAAUAGGGCGUCUAGUCGCUGGGAAUAGACCCGAAACCGGGCGAUCUAUCCAUGGGCAGGUUGAAGGUUGGGUAACACUAACUGGAGGACCGAACCGACUACCGUUGAAAAGUUAGCGGAUGACCUGUGGAUCGGAGUGAAAGGCUAAUCAAGCUCGGAGAUAGCUGGUUCUCCUCGAAAGCUAUUUAGGUAGCGCCUCAUGUAUCACUGUAGGGGGUAGAGCACUGUUUCGGCUAGGGGGUCAUCCCGACUUACCAAACCGAUGCAAACUCCGAAUACCUACAAGUGCCGAGCAUGGGAGACACACGGCGGGUGCUAACGUCCGUCGUGAAAAGGGAAACAACCCAGACCGUCAGCUAAGGUCCCAAAGUUAUGGUUAAGUGGGAAACGAUGUGGGAAGGCUUAGACAGCUAGGAGGUUGGCUUAGAAGCAGCCACCCUUUAAAGAAAGCGUAAUAGCUCACUAGUCGAGUCGGCCUGCGCGGAAGAUGUAACGGGGCUCAAACCAUACACCGAAGCUACGGGUAUCACGUAAGUGAUGCGGUAGAGGAGCGUUCUGUAAGCCUGUGAAGGUGAGUUGAGAAGCUUGCUGGAGGUAUCAGAAGUGCGAAUGCUGACAUGAGUAACGACAAUGGGUGUGAAAAACACCCACGCCGAAAGACCAAGGUUUCCUGCGCAACGUUAAUCGACGCAGGGUUAGUCGGUCCCUAAGGCGAGGCUGAAAAGCGUAGUCGAUGGAAAACAGGUUAAUAUUCCUGUACUUCUGGUUAUUGCGAUGGAGGGACGGAGAAGGCUAGGCCAGCUUGGCGUUGGUUGUCCAAGUUUAAGGUGGUAGGCUGAGAUCUUAGGUAAAUCCGGGAUCUUAAGGCCGAGAGCUGAUGACGAGUGUUCUUUUAGAACACGAAGUGGUUGAUGCCAUGCUUCCAAGAAAAGCUUCUAAGCUUCAGGUAACCAGGAACCGUACCCCAAACCGACACAGGUGGUUGGGUAGAGAAUACCAAGGCGCUUGAGAGAACUCGGGUGAAGGAACUAGGCAAAAUGGCACCGUAACUUCGGGAGAAGGUGCGCCGGUGAGGGUGAAGGACUUGCUCCGUAAGCCCAUGCCGGUCGAAGAUACCAGGCCGCUGCGACUGUUUAUUAAAAACACAGCACUCUGCAAACACGAAAGUGGACGUAUAGGGUGUGACGCCUGCCCGGUGCCGGAAGGUUAAUUGAUGGGGUUAGCUAACGCGAAGCUCUUGAUCGAAGCCCCGGUAAACGGCGGCCGUAACUAUAACGGUCCUAAGGUAGCGAAAUUCCUUGUCGGGUAAGUUCCG